CAUCCACACCUCCACCUACAUCCACACCUCCUGGUUCCAUCUCCAUCACUCUUCCUCCUGUUCUCUCUGUGUUGUCAUGUGUUGGAUCAGUCUGUGUUGUGGUUCUACUGGUGUUAAUGGUUCUGAUGGUGAGACGAUGUGUCCACAGGAAACCUGAAGAUCAAGAAGAAACUGGAGAAGAUGAAAUCAUCACUCAUGUCAAGUACAACAUCAAAACAAUAAAUCAUCAACAACAACCAAUCAGACGAAGCAGAGCUUCUCAUGCAUUUGAUUUCCAUGUGUGACAACCGCAAGUGUCCAG